rnacentral:rRNA from 1 species
CCUACGGGUGGCAGCAGUGGGGAAUAUUGCACAAUGGGGGAAACCCUGAUGCAGCAACGCCGCGUGAGUGAAGACGUAUUUCGGUAUGUAAAGCUCUAUCAGCAGGGAAGAAAAUGACAGUACCUGACUAAGAAUCCCCGGCUAACUACGUGCCAGCAGCCGCGGUAAUACGUAGGCGGCAAGCGUUAUCCGGAUUUACUGGGUGUAAAGGGAGCGUAGUCGGCUGCGCAAGUCAGAAGUGAAAUGCCGGGGCUCAACCCCGGGACUGCGUUUGAAACUGUGUAGCUAGAGUACAGGUGAGGUAAGUGGAAUGUCUGGUGUAGCGGUGAAAUGCGUAGAUAUCA